UACGGGGGGGGCAAGCGUUGUUCGGAAUUACUGGGCGUAAAGGGCUCGUAGGCGGCCAACUAAGUCAGACGUGAAAUCCCUCGGCUUAACCGGGGAACUGCAUCUGAUACUGGAUGGCUUGAGUUCGGGAGAGGGAUGCGGAAUUCCAGGUGUAGCGGUGAAAUGCGUAGAUAUCUGGAGGAACACCGGUGGCGAAGGCGGCAUCCUGGACCGGCAUUGACGCUGAGGCGCGAAAGCUAGGGGAGCAAACGGGG
rnacentral:rRNA from 1 species